UACGUAGGGGCGAGCGUUACCCGGAAUCACUGGGCGUAAAGGGAGCGUAGGUGGUCUGACAUGUCGACUGUGAAAACCCGGAGCUCAACUCCGGACUUGCAGUUGAAACUGCCAGGCUUGAGGACGGUAGAGGAAGACGGAACUGCCAGUGUAGGGGUAAAAUCCUUAGAUAUUGGCAGGAACGCCGGUGACGAAGGUGGUUUUCUGGGCCGGUUCUGACACUGAUGCUCGAAAGCCAGGGGAGCGAACGGGAUUAGAUACCCGUGUAGUCCCUGAGCGGGCU
rnacentral:rRNA from 1 species